UAAUUACUCCCUCCGUCCGAAAAUACUUGUCAUCAAAAUGGAUAAAAAGAGAUGUAUCUAGAACUAAAAUAUGUCUAGAUACAUUCUCUUUUAUUCAUUUUGAUGACAAGUAUUUCCGGACGGAGGGAGUAUAUU
rnacentral:pre_miRNA from 1 species